GUGGGGAAUUUUGCGCAAUGGGCGGAAGCCUGACGCAGCCAUGCCGCGUGGGUGACGAAGGCCUUCGGGUUGUAAAGCCCUGUCCGGGGGGACGAAGGCGAGCGGGUGAACAUCCCGCUAUGUUGACUGUACCCCCGAAGAAAGCACCGGCUAACUCCGUGCCAGCAGCCGCGGCAAUACGGAGGGUGCGAGCGUUGUUCGGAAUCACUGGGCGUAAAGCGCGUGUAGGCGGUGGUGCAAGUCGGGUGUGAAAGCCCUGGGCUCAACCCAGGAAUUGCGCUCGAAACUGCACUGCUGGAGUACGGGAGAGGGACGUGGAAUUCCUGGUGUAGAGGUGAAAUUCGUAGAUAUCAGGAGGAACACCUGUGGCGAAGGCGACGUCCUGGACCGAUACUGACGCUGAGACGCGAAAGCGUGGGGAGCAAACAGGAUUAGAAACCCCAGUAGUCC
rnacentral:rRNA from 1 species